rnacentral:rRNA from 1 species
UGGGGAAUUUUGGACAAUGGGCGAAAGCCUGAUCCAGCAAUGCCGCGUGUGUGAAGAAGGCCUUCGGGUUGUAAAGCACUUUUGUCCGGAAAGAAAUCCUUGGCUCUAAUACAGUCGGGGGAUGACGGUACCGGAAGAAUAAGCACCGGCUAACUACGUGCCAGCAGCCGCGGUAAUACGUAGGGUGCAAGCGUUAAUCGGAAUUACUGGGCGUAAGCGUGCGCAGGCGGUUUGCUAAGACCGAUGUGAAAUCCCCGGGCUCAACCUGGGAACUGCAUUGGUGACUGGCAGGCUAGAGUAUGGCAGAGGGGGGUAGAAUUCCACGUGUAGCAGUGAAAUGCGUAGAGAUGUGGAGGAAUACCGAUGGCGAAGGCAGCCCCCUGGGCCAAUACUGACGCUCAUGCACGAAAGCGUGGGGAGCAAACAGGAUUAGAUACCCUGGUAGUCCACGCCCUAAACGAUGUCAACUAGUUGUUGGGGAUUCAUUUCCUUAGUAACGUAGCUAACGCGUGAAGUUGACCGCCUGGGGAGUAC